GACGAACGCUGGCGGCGUGCCUAACACAUGCAAGUCGAGCGGAGAUGAUGUGAGGAAGUUUUCGGAUGGAAUCACAUUAUUUUAGCGGCGGACGGGUGAGUAACGCGUGAGCGACCAACCUUGCACAGGGGGAUAACGGACCGAAAGGUUCACUAAUACCGCAUGAGACCACGGUGUUGCAUGACACAGAGGUCAAAGGAGAGAUCCGGUGCAAGACGGGCUCGCGUCCGAUUAGGUAGUUGGUGGGGUAACGGCCCACCAAGCCUAUGAUCGGUAGCCGACCUGAGAGGGUGAUCGGCCACAUUGGAACUGAGAUACGGUCCAAACUCCUACGGGAGGCAGCAGUGGGGAAUAUUGGGCAAUGGGGGAAACCCUGACCCAGCAACGCCGCGUGAAGGAAGAAGGUUUUCGGAUUGUAAACUUCUGUCCUUGGUGAAGAGAAGAAGACGGUAGCCAAGGAGGAAGCCCCGGCUAACUACGUGCCAGCCGCCGCGGUAA
rnacentral:rRNA from 1 species